rnacentral:rRNA from 1 species
AUUGAACGCUGGCGGCAGGCCUAACACAUGCAAGUCGAGCGGAUGAAGGGAGCUUGCUCCUGGAUUCAGCGGCGGACGGGUGAGUAAUGCCUAGGAAUCGGCCUGGUAGUGGGGGAUAACGUUCGGAAUCGGGCGCUAAUACCGCAUAAGUCCUGAGGGAGAAAGUGGGGGGGCGUCGGACCUUACGCUACCAGAUGAGCCGAGGUUGGGUUAGCUAGUCGGUGGGGGGAAGGCCUGCCAAGGCGACGAUCCGUAACUGUGCAGAGAGGAUGAGCAGUACCAGUGGAACUGGGAGACGGUCCAGACUCCUACGGGGGGAAGCAGUGGGGAAUAUUGGGCGAUGGGCGAAAGCCUGAUCCAGCCAUGCCGCGUGUGUGGAGAAAGUCUUCGGACUUUAAAGCACUUUAAGUUGGGAGGAAGGACAGUAAGUUAAGAACUAGCUGCAUUGACGUUACCAGCAGAAUAAGCACCGGCUAACUUCGUG